GUUGUUUAGCAGGUGAAGAGAUGAGACGGGAGGAAAGUAACGAGGGGAGGAAGGAUUUCAUCAAUUUAGAUCAGGCCUCAAGGCAAGCUCUACAAAACAAACUCAACUUCUACAAGAAUAAUGCAAUUACGCAAUCAGUCCAGAUUUCUGAGCUAGAGCCCCCGGCCGGAGCCACCAGAUGACACCGCCCCCACCCCCCAGGGGAUCGUCUAGGCUGGAAUCAUCCGACAGUUCGGUCGUUCACAGAAGUCGUCAUCCCUGAUGUCUAGAGAUCACCUUGAUCAACUUGCAUCUUCACUGAAAUUCAAAGAAUCAGGAUAGGUCUUCUAGUUUCCUCUUCUCCCAGAUUCGAGGCAGUUCUUCCAAUCACACCCGCUGGGCUUCCAAUCAUACUUACUCCUCUGCAGUGAUGCAGGACUACUCUUAUGGUCAUUAAGAAAUUUAUCCAUGAGAGAUUCUAGACUUACUUCUGGUCCAUCUCUUAAGCCUCGUAACAUAACUUUUGUUUGUAGGAUUGUUUCUUUGUGUGUUUGAAGAGGAUUCAUUUAAUUUGGUCACCUAAUUCAACGAUAAAGAAUUUAUAUGUUCAUAUUCUAAACACUUGUGAGCAAGAUAUUUAUUAAAUGAUGUUCAUAUGCAACUCAUUCAGUUAGAUUUCUUUUUCUUUUUCAGGCCAAUUAUGUAACUGAAGUUCAGAGAUUAAUGUAAAUAGCAAAGUUUUUAGUUGUACAUGUUAAUUAUUUGUUGGAGGGAUAUAGUUCAACCUUUUCUAACUAUGCAUUACCUGUAUAUUUUGUUUACUUUGUGACUUCCAUGAUAGUUUAGCCAAAUGCUGUUUGACUUUCAUUAUUCAUAAAUGAUGUAGAGAA